UACAGCCAUAUCUCUUUGAAACUUACCAGAUCCCAUAUGAUCGCCAAAGUUAAGCAAUGUUGAGUUUGGUCAGUACCUAGAUGGUUGACCACUUGGGUAUAGCAGAUG